UGCAAACACCUCUUGUCACGCCGGAAACCAAUUUGGAUUUCACAGCACCUUAUCAAUAUAGUUUAAGUUAAUUCCUUUCUGAAGUCACAUUGCUAAAAGGCACAGAUCAAGUGACAAGGACUAAAUAACAAGAGAGUCUUGAAGCACCUUAAUGACUAAGGGUGGUAUCCAACAGUGAUGGUUUCCUGGAGGAAAGAAUCUAUCAGAGGAAUGGGAAGUGAACUUAGGGCAGCACACAUGGUUCUUCUCCAUCCACUUUACCAUCAGAACAGCCCUGAAGCUUCGGCUGAGAGAUGAUCAUGACCGAGUGGAGACUCGAACUUGGAUCUCCCGAGACCAUGUCUAACUCAGCAAUGGGGAACCUGUGGCCCUCCAUAUGUAGUUGGAGUUG